AUAUCUGUAAAUCAACACCAUAUUUAUGUUCAUUGCCACGUUUAUGGAAUGACUUCUUGUGUCAUCUCGCGAUAAUAAAUAAACAAAUCAUCAGAUAUGUGAUUUAAUGGCAAAACCGACAUUUUGCACUUCUGUUUUUUCGACAUUUAAGAAAUAUGGGUAAAGUUUUGUGCAGAUGUUCAAUGGAAAAGCAACUACUGACAACAAUAAAACCAG